UACGUAGGGGGCGAGCGUUAUUCGGAUUUACUGGGCGUAAAGCGCGUGUAGGCGGCUGGUUAAGCGUGAUGUGAAAUCUCCGGGCUCAACCCGGAAACUGCAUUGCGAACUGGCCUGGCUGGAGUGCAGAAGAGGAAAGCGGAAUUCCACGUGUAGCGGUGAAAUGCGUAGAGAUGUGGAGGAACACCAGUGGCGAAGGCGGCUUUCUGGUCUGUAACUGACGCUGAGGCGCGAAAGCGUGGGGAGCAAACAGG
rnacentral:rRNA from 1 species